rnacentral:misc_RNA from 1 species
AACGCACCUUGCGCUCCUUGGUAUUCCGAGGAGCAUGCCUGUUUGAGUGUCUUGAAGUUAUCAACCCCCUCCUGUUUUCGAACGGGGAGUGGGCUGGACUUGGGGGCAUGCAGAACGUGAGUCUGCUCCCCUCAAACGCUUCGGCGUUGGGCCUGCGGGUCGAACUCGGUUGGGCGUUGUACGCACCUCGCUCUAGUCCGAGACGUUCCCCUACUAUCGUGCCCCGCCCCGACUGCCUAACGAGCGGCAGUCAAGCACACCUUGACAUCUGACCUCAAAUCAGGUAGGACUACCCGCUGAACUUAA